UACAGAGGUCUCAAGCGUUGUUCGGAAUCAUUGGGCGUAAAGGGCGCGUAGGUGGUUCUGUAUGUCUACCGUGAAAGCGUACGGCUCAACCGUAUUUUUGUCGGUAGAAACUGCAGGACUUGAGGCUGGGGAGGGGGCUGGUGGAAUUCCCUGUGUAGCGGUGAAAUGCGUAGAGAUGGGGGGAGAACACUCGUGGCGAAGGCGGCCAGCUAGACCAGUUCUGACACUGAGGCGCGACAGCGUGGGGGAGCAAACAGG
rnacentral:rRNA from 1 species